CAAUAGCGUAUAUUAAAGUUGUUGCAGUUAAAAAGCUCGUAGUUGGACUUCUGCGGGUGGCGGCCGGUCGUGCUCGAAACGGGCGUGGACUUGGCGUGCUGCCCGCAUCUUUGGGGAGAUUGUGCGUGGCAUUAAGUUGUCGUGCAUGGGAUUCUCAUCAUUUACUGUGAAAAAAUUAGAGUGUUUAAAGCAGGCCUUUGCCUUGAAUACAUUAGCAUGGAAUAAUAAGAUAGGACCGUUGUCUAUUUUGUUGGUUUACAGAUGUCGGUAAUGAUUAAUAGGGAUAGUUGGGGGUAUUCGUAUUCAGUUGUCAGAGGUGAAAUUCUUGGAUUUUCGGAAGACGCACGACUGCGAAAGCAUUUACCAAGGAUGUUUUCAUUAA
rnacentral:rRNA from 1 species